rnacentral:lncRNA from 1 species
UCAUCUUAUUUGGUCCCUUGUUUAGGUUGCAUCUCAGAGCUAUUUGGUUGCUAUGGUGACAGUAAUGAUGAAGGCUGAUUGGAAGAAGGUAACAUCUUAUUUGGGACGUAUUUUGUUGAAAGGAGAGAAUAUAUUCUAUGCUUUCCUAUUAGACAAGACACUGGGUUACAUCCAUGUUGAUUAGCAGGUCUCACUUUUCUUUUUAGUACAGAUUGUUUCAGUAUUGUACUUUAUGACUAAACACUCUAAAAUUUGACUUGGGAUUUCACAAGAUUGAAGUAACCUAAUCUCCAUCAAAUGGGAUUUUUCUGAAUAUAGUUGUUCAGCAUAUAUAAGAGAAGAAAUACUAAAGUUAAUAUCAAAGAGCCAACUUCAGAAUUUCAAGAAUGUAUAAUAUACCUUUUUCAUUGAUAGAAUUAUUUAAUAAGAAUCCAUUAACAGUCAGAAAACUAUAGGGACUUCAGCAAUAAGUAAAUUAUGAGUGCUUAUUUCCUUUUAAAUCUCUGAUCCCAGCUGGAACAAGGUGUGAUUGAAGAAUGGUUUAAUUGUUCAUAGACAUCUGUCUUUGGAGUCUAUUGAAAAAUAAUAUCCUGGGCAUAAUAUGGCUUACGGAAUUUUUGACAUUUUUAUAUCUUUCACAAGCAAGGCAUUGUCAAAAAGUCAGGUAGUGAAACUCCUGAAAACUUACGGAUACAUUUAGAGUAGAAGGGAAUAAAAACCUGGUAAUAUAUCAGUAUGCACAGCUGGAAAGCAGAUGUUCAAUUGAAUGAUCUCAGUACUUAGGAAAAGCUAUUAAACCUGUUACUCACUCAAAUGAGAAAUUCCCAUAAUUUAUUGUUCUUAUAUUGACUUACUUCUUUUUACUCCUUUAAAUUAACUCUGGAAUUAUUAUUUCUAUUAUUGUUGUUGUUGAAGCCUAUUACCAUGGAUGUUUGACUCCAUUCAAUACAGUACAUGAGUGCUAAGAAAUGCCCAAGGCUGCUGUCAAUCAAAUUAGCUGCCUUUAGAAUCCUCCACGACAUGUCCUCAGGAAAGACUAUUACUGAUUUGAAGAAACCCUUAAUUGCCGAAAUUAUGAAGCCUUUGUGAGUCUCAGGGUGUCCAAAAACACCAGAAUGUGGAUUUUGGUGAAAGGUGAAGAUUGUACUGAUGGAAAUGUGGGCAGGCUGGGAAGGUAAGUGUCAGUGACACAGUUGUCCUUUGCUCCAACCUAGAAGGAGUAUUUUUACAAUAGUUUGCUAGGAUCAACUUUAUAUUUCACAGAUCUAAUUAUUUUGUUUGCUUAUGCUGUGCUCCUGGCUGCUUAGUCUGUCUUCUCACUGCUGGUGGGUUUCCAUAGAGGUGGAAACAUUAGGGGCUGGUAGUUGAUCUGUUACUACUGAGCAGAUAAAGACCAUUGUAAACUCCUGUAUAAAUGCUGUGAGACAGAGACCUAAAGAUUAUUAUUUUAUUAAACAUUGGAGAAACAAUGAUAGGUGUUUUAGGAAACAGAUGCAUUUUAAAUUUAUAAUUAUUUUAUAUUGAAAUAGUUAUUUUGUGUUGGUGACAUUUUAUCAACUCAUUAUACCUCAACUUCGUGUCAUUUUAACUUAAAACAUGCAUGUCUACUAAUGAAUAUCUAGUAAUAAGGAUAGCCAAAUACAACAUGAUAAUUGUUGAUUUAAUAUAACAAUAACCUGGAGUCCUACACUUUGCGUAGCUUUUAAAAUGUUUCUUUAAUGCAGACGGCUAUAUUUAAGUUGGAAUACUUAUCUAUGUGAGAAAUAAAUCACAUUCUUCUAUAAGUUAUAAGGUUUGCUUUGUUUUGUUUUCAAAAAAGUUUAUCUAACCUUCAGAUAAGGGCAACAUUCUACAAAAUUAUAGAUACAUUCUAGUAUAUAAGAAUAAAGUUGUAUAUUAUUUCUCACAGAAAAACUUUAAAACAUAAAACAUUAAAAUGUAAUCUUUAUCGGGUUUUAUAUCUAUAAUUAGAGACUUAGACAAAAAUCCAAGGACAGUGACAAAUACCAUCUAUUCCUUUAUUUCUUGCCACUACACUCAUCUCCUGCUUCAAAUGACCUUACUCAGCUGCAGUAGCAAAUACGGUCCUUUUCAAGGUUACUCUCAGAAGUACAGUUUUCACUUAAUAUGAUGUAAAUUUACCCUCAAAUUUAUUUCUAAAAACAUUCUGCAAUAUCAUUAUUGUCAACAUUAAGAAACUUAAUUAGCAAGAUGGGCGUGGCAGAAUGAGCAGAGGAAAAAUGAUAAACAUUUUUUUCAUGUUAAGUAGAAUUAUGAUUUAUAUAAUUUAGUGGUACUUAUCUAUGUAACCUGAAAUAUUUGCAUAAAGUUUGCUUCUUAAUCUGACUACAUAAAAAGGUUGUUAGUACCAUGUUAGGCAAGGCAUACAGAAAUA